GCCAGCAGCCAUAUCACUCUGCAACUCACAACUGGCAGCCCACUGAAGCUAAGCAGGUGUGAGCCUGGUCAGUACCUGGAUGGGAGACCUCCUGGGAAAAACUAAGGUUGCUGCUGGAA
ensembl:rRNA 5S_rRNA 5S ribosomal RNA